GGGGUCUCUCUAUGUAUGAUAUUCAGCCCUGCUCUUAUCAAUGAGCACAUCUAUAUCGAGCUGUUUUAAGGAAGGAAGGGAUGGAGUUAAUCAUAAGUUUCCAUUUGAUCAGGUUCUGUAAUGAGGUUUUGGUUAUGGACUUUGUAUUUCUAUGCAUGUUAAUAGACAAAUACACAGGCAAUAAAUAUUGUUAUAAAUAUGAUGAGAUGGACAGAUAGAUACAGAUAGAUAGAUAGAUGGUAAUAGAUACAGAUAUAGAUAGACGGAAGAUGAAUGACGCCUAGCCAUAUUUAUGCAUUCCACAGCCCAACUUCAUUUAAUAGAAGCGUCUGUGCUUUCAGAGCAUUUAAACAUGCAGACACAAGCCACUGCAGUGGAUGCCGGAAGGACAUUGUGUCCCACCUGAAUGCAGGUAAGUCUGGAGUCCAAAGAAGCCCCAGUCAUCUGUGUCCACAGAGGACAGCCAGCUUUGUAUCCUCGGGUGCAGAACUUUGGGCCAAAGAUCUGAGUGUGUUGGGCUUCUCAGAGGUCACUGCAGCUGGAGGCCAAAAUCUCAUUAAACAGUUCUUACCAACUGUCUUAAAAGGCAGGACUCGUGGCCUCCAGCCCUGGGGGAUGCUGUGAUUCUGCACAUUUAUUGACAGAAGCCAGGUAUCUCUGCUGACACCUACCCUGGCUUCCUCAGAUCUCCUAGCCAGCCUCCCCCAGCCCGAAGACACAAGGCUCAACUUCAAGGCUCCUAAAACUGUAAGGGAUGAUGCCAACCUGGGGCUUCCUCAAAGCUGGCUGGCUGUGUGGCUCUCCUGCUCCCGUCCCCAGUAAAGAUCAUGAAGAAGAGGGGAAUGAGAAGGGCAGAAAGGGCAAAUUCCUGAGCCCGUUGAAGAAUUUAGCCAGUGGCUAGCAAAGAGAGGAAAAUGCUUUAGAGGAAGGGGAAUUUAUUCACGGACACCUGUCAGAAGCUGUCAUUCCCUGGCUGAACUAUAGUCUGAAUUUUACUAUGAUAUAAAUCAGUUCCUCCUGGACUUAAUAACUCUUCUUUAUAGGUUUCUUCCCACUCAUAAAUAAAACUCAUUCCAUAUGUAUAUACUGCAAAAGGCCUGCUUGACUUGCAGCACUGUUCAUUGGGAGAGGUAGGUGCCAGCCCACAUUUUGUAAUGGCCAUGGGGCUUUCCAAUGGUUCCACCUUCAGGGAGAGACCUCCCUUCCCUGGGACAACGGGUAUGUCCUCUCAAAGAGCCAGGUGACUUCCAGGAUGGGUCCAAGUGUGGCAGAGCUGGAGGUCACCUUGCUGGAAAGCGGGGUGGGGGUGUCAGGCAGGGCUGCAAUGUGCCUGACCAGUUCUCCUGGCAGAUUUGUGAAGUUGCAGAUUCUGAAGAGAUGGGCCAGCUAACCUCUGCCAGAUCCCAGGGAUGGUCUGGAACGUUCCACUGAUUGGGGAGGCCCUUAUCCACUCCAUUCCUCAAGCUCUCCAUGGAGCAGUGAACUUCAGCACCCUGACUCACAACAACCCCAUCCUGGUUGGAUUUUUGGACACCAGCUCCAUUCUCUUCUAGUGUGGUGAGAGAGCAAACUUAAUUUUUAAAGUUAUGCGCUACAGUAUUCUCGGGGUUUUGUACAUUCUCAGAAAGAGAUAAAUAUUCAAAUUCUAAUUUUAAAAACAUAGUUGGAAAAUGACGAUAGAAACCAUCUUGUCCAAUAUCCACCCAAGGAAGUAAACACCCCCACAUCCACCCCAGCAGAUGGGCACUCGGCCUUCCUAUUUCUCUUAGAAGGAGAAUUAUAAAAGGAUUUAGCUUUUAUUUUAUUUUAAACACAACUCUUAAACUUUAAAGUAAAUCACAAAUAACUUUGUUCAGAUAACAUUCUGAAAUUUUAUUGUCAUUAAGAUCUGCAAGCACUCCAUGAGAAUUCAUAAUUUUAGGAGGAAAUACAUCAAUACAGUAUUUAAUGAUAUGGAUUAUCUGCUUUUGAAAUAUACCAGGUGCUGUAAUUACAAAACUCAAACUAGUAAAAAAAAAACAUUGAAGACAAAUCUGGUAACCUCCUGAGAUAAGAGCUGUGAAAAUCAAAAUCUGUGUUCACAAAACCAAAACUAAAACCAAAACCAAAAAAAAAAAAAAAAAAAAAAAACCACCAGAAAAUAACGUGUUGGCAAGGAUGUGGAGAAAUUGGAACCCUCGUACAUUGAAUCUAAAUAGAUUCAGCUUCUGGGGGAAAAUCUGGCAGUCCCUCAAGUUGUUAAACAUAGAAUUUCCAUAUGCUUCAACGAUCCCACACCUAGGAUCCACCCAAAAGGGUUGACAACAGGGACUCAGACAAAUACAUCUACACACACCUUCACAGCGGUGAUGCUUGCAAUCAAGAAAAGGUGGAAAUAGCCCAAAUGUCCAUCAGCAGAGAGAUGGGUAAACAAGAGAGGGUAUGUGAGUACCCUGAAAUGUUUUCAUUCCAGAAAUGAAGGGAGAAGUGCAGAACCGAGACAUGUUACGAUGUGGAUGGAGGGAAAACAUCAUGAGAAGUGAAAGAAGCCAGACACAACAGCUCAUGUAUUAUAUAAUCCCAUUUAUAGGAAAUGUCGAGAACAGGUAAAUCCAUAAGGUCAGAAAGCAAAGCAAUGGUUCCCAGGGGCUGGAGCAAUGGGAGAAUGAGAAGUGAUCGCUUGAUGUGUACAGAGCCUCUUUUGGAAUAAUAAAAGUAUUCGUGAGCUAAAGUAGAGGUGGGGGUGAGCAGCCCUGGGAAAGUCCAGAAUGAAAUGUAUAAUCUUAUGUUUUGUGAACCUCUCCUUAAUACAAAGAAUGUAAAAACAAGCACACACACAAAAAUGAUCUAUGAAGCCAGAUAUGGGGGCGCAUGUCUGUAAUCCC
rnacentral:lncRNA from 1 species